GACGAACGCUGGCGGCGUGCCUAACACAUGCAAGUCGAACGCAGUGGGGACGGGUGAGUAACAAGUGGGUAACCUCCCAUCAGAGGGGAUAACACUUGGAAACAGGUGCUAAACCGAAAUUGAUGGAUGGACUCGCGGUGCAAUAGCUUGGUGGUGGGGUAACGGCUCACCAAGGCCACGAUGCAUAGCCGGCCUGAGAGGAUGACCGGCCAAACUGGGACUGAGACACGGCCCAGACUCCUACGGGAGGCAGCAGUAGGGAAUCUUCGGCAAUGGACGAAAGUCUGACCGAGCAACGCCGCGUGAGUGAAGAAGGUUUUCGGAUCGUAAAACUCUGUUAUUAGAGAAGCGGUAUCUAACCAGAAAGCCACGGCUAACUACGUGCCAGCCGCCGCGGUAAUAC
rnacentral:rRNA from 1 species